rnacentral:rRNA from 1 species
CCUACGGGUGGCUGCAGUGGGGAAUAUUGCACAAUGGGGGAAACCCUGAUGCAGCAACGCCGCGUGAGCGAUGAAGGCCUUCGGGUCGUAAAGCUCUGUCCUAAGGGAAGAAUACUGACGGUACCUUAGGAGGAAGCCCCGGCUAACUACGUGCCAGCAGCCGCGGUAAUACGUAGGGGGCUAGCGUUAUCCGGAAUUACUGGGCGUAAAGGGUGCGUAGGCGGCCCUUCAAGUCAGAGGUUAAAGGCUACGGCUCAACCGUAGUAAGCCUUUGAAACUGUAGGGCUUGAGUGCAGGUGAGUAGAGGGGAAUUACCAGUGUAGCGGUGAAAUGCGUAGAUAUUGGCAGGAACUCUAGUUGCGAAGGCGGCUCUCUGGACUGUAUCUGACGCUGAGGCAGGAAAGCGUGGGGAACGAACAGGUUUAGAUACCCUAGUAGUC